rnacentral:rRNA from 1 species
GACGAACCGUGCGAACGUUAUUCGGAAUCACUGGGCUUAAAGCGCGUGUAGGCGGAAGGGCACGUCCGUUGCUGAAAUCCCCCGGCUCAACCGGGGAACGGGCACGGAUACGACUCUUCUGGAGGGGCGUAGGGGGACCUGGAACUUCCGGUGGAGCGGUGAAAUGCGUUGAGAUCGGAAGGAACGCCCGUGGCGAAAGCGAGGUCCUGGACGCCUACUGACGCUGAGACGCGAAAGCCAGGGGAGC